rnacentral:rRNA from 1 species
AUCAACUUUCGAUGGUAGGAUAGAGGCCUACCAUGGNGGUAACGGGUAACGGGGUGUUAGGGCACGACACCGGAGAGGGAGCCUGAGAAACGGCUACCACAUCCAAGGAUGGCAGCAGGCGCGCAAAUUACCCAAUCCCGACACGGGGAGGUAGUGACAAUAAAUAACAAUACGGGGUUCUUUAGGAUCUCGUAAUUGGAAUGAGUACAAUUUAAAUCUCUUAACGAGGAACAAUUGGAGGGCAAGUCUGGUGCCAGCAGCCGCGGUAAUUCCAGCUCCAAUAGCGUAUAUUAAAGUUGUUGCAGUUAAAAAGCUCGUAGUUGAAUUUCGGGGUUAGUAGGUUGGUCAUGCCUCUGGUAUGUACUGGUCUCACUGAUUCCUCCUUCCUGAUGAGCCGUAAUGCCAUUAAUUUGGUGUUGCGGGGAAUUUGGACUGUUACUUUGAAAAAAUUAGAGUGUUUAAAGCAAGCUAACGCUUGAAUACAUUAGCAUGGAAUAAUGAAAUAGGACGUUCGAUCCUAUUUUGUUGGUUUCUAGGAUUGACGUAAUGAUUAAUAGGGAUAGUUGGGGGCAUUAGUAUUCAAUUGUCAGAGGUGAAAUUCUUGGAUUUAUUGAAGACUAACUACUGCGAAAGCAUUUGCCAAGGAUGUUUUCAUUAAUCAAGAACGAAAGUUAGGGGAUCGAAGACGAUCAGAUACCGUCGUAGUCUUAACCAUAAACUAUGCCGACUAGGGAUCGGAUGAUGUUAAUUUUUUAAUGACUCAUUCGGCGCCUUACGGGAAACCAAAGUGUUUGGGUUC